UAUUACUAAUUUUAUCAAUAAUUUGAGCUCUUAUAUCUGGAUCUUUGAUAUUUUGUAAGGGCUCCAAAACUUUGUCAUUAUCAAUAACAUUAAGACUCAAUUCUUUAAAUUGAGAAUAGAUAUUAUAAAGAUCAUCUUCAUCAUUAUCCUUUUCACAUGCCAUCCCUUGCUGGCAAGGUGAACAUUCAUCUUCAGAAGUCAUAUAAUCUUCUUGUUGAAGAGCUUUAAGAUCUUCACUUGUUGAGGACCCUCUACCACUGC
rnacentral:lncRNA from 1 species